UACGGAAGGCAGCAGUGGGGAAUAUUGCACAAUGGGCGCAAGCCUGAUGCAGCCAUGCCGCGUGUAUGAAGAAGGCCUUCGGGUUGUAAAGUACUUUCAGUCGUGAGGAAGGUGUUAAGGUUAAUAACCUUAGCAAUUGACGUUAGCGACAGAAGAAGCACCGGCUAACUCCGUGCCAGCAGCCGCGGUAAUACGGAGGGUGCGAGCGUUAAUCGGAAUUACUGGGCGUAAAGGGCACGCAGGCGGUUAAUUAAGUUGGAUGUGAAAUCCCCGGGCUUAACCUGGGAAUGACAUUCAAGACUGGUUAGCUAGAGUCUUGUAGAGGGGGUAGAAUUCCAUGUGUAGCGGUGAAAUGCGUAGAGAUGUGGAGGAAUACCGGUGGCGAAGGCGGCCCCUGGGACAAAGACUGACGCUCAUGUGCGAAAGCGUGGGGAGCAAAC
rnacentral:rRNA from 1 species